GACGAACGCUGGCGGCGUGCCUAAUACAUGCAAGUCGAGCGAAGAGUCGCGGGGCUUGGCACUAGAAAGAUUGAGGCGGGAACGGGUGAGAAACGUGGAAAGAACCUGUCUCAGAGACGGGGACAACCGGGGGAAAGGAUAUAAAAUAGGGGAAAAUAGUAUAUCGCACGGGAGAGAAAUGUAAAAGGGGUUUGUUGCAACAUAUAGAUAGAUCUUUGCGGUGCAUUAGCUAGUUGGAGGGGUAACGGCCCACCAAGGCGACGAUGCAUAGCCGACCUGAGAGGGUGAUCGGCCACACUGGAACUGAGACACGGCCCAGACUCCUACGGGAGGCAGCAGUAGGGAAUCUUCCGCAAUGGGCGAAAGCCUGACGGAGCAACGCCGCGUGAGUGAUGAAGGAUUUCGGUUCGUAAAGCUCUGUUGUUAGGGAAGAAUGAAUAUGUAAUAACCUAAGCUGUACGUGACGGUACCUAAUCAGAAAGCCACGGCUAACUACGUG
rnacentral:rRNA from 1 species